UAUAAUACAAGACCUCUAAUCGAACAUGGGUAGAAUGCGGGAGACAGAUUCUGGGUUCAUUCAACAACUCGCUAGAAAUGCUCCACUAUUGCCAGAUCUGGUGAUCUUUGGGUUUUCUUCCUAUUUUUUUGUUGAGUUGUUUUGAUUAAUCAAGAAAUGAAAAUUGUUUUCGACGAUGAUAUUAAUCCUCUGGUGUCUGUUUUGUAAAUAUUAAUGAUGACUUAGGAAUUUGAUUAACUAAGGUACCGAUUCAAUUUGUUCUUUAUAUCAUCAGUGACUCUUAAAGACGAUGAUGGCCCACUUGCUGUAAGACGAUGGGGAGCAAGAGGAAUUUGGUGGUAGCUUAGGAUUUAAUAUGGACGGAUUUUUGGGUCAGUUAGGAUUCAACAGCUGAAUUAAACAUAAGAGAGCUGUUCUAAAGGAACUAAUUUGGGAUUGCUUGAUUAUAAUUUGGGACCGAAUUUCGAAUGUACUCAUCUGUAUAUAGAUUUGCGAUUAAUUGGUAGUGGUGGUGACGAUCAACGAAGACCUUAGGUUUGAUUGUGAAGAACAGAUAUGGUGCAGAACCGUCCGAUAUUUUCGUCCGAUGGCAUACUCGUGUCAGAAUAUGUCCUCCCAUAUAAAAUCAGUACUUACGAUAUUUUUUUUUUUGCCCGUUCUUAUGAAGAAGGUGACGGAGAUGAAGAAGAAGGUGACGGAGAUGGAGAAGAAGAAAGUAUGUUCACUUUUUUAUUUGUUUAGGAAUUUUGUAAUUUUCUCUUUUCUCGUGCCACCCGUAUUUCUUUAUGCCACGCGGAUAUUUUUGUCUGAGUCGGUGUAUUUUUUUGGCCAAGUGUGUAUUCUUGAUGAGGCAGCUAACUUGGAAUAAAUGGAAUUCUUAACGAGAGAGGUUUCACUAAUUUUAUAUCUAUAGGAAAGGUAAUUCAAAUUAUGUUCUUCAUCAGGGAAGUAACGUAAAUUAUCCAAAUCAAAUGGUUGAAUUUCCACACGCUUUCAAGUUUCUGGCGCUCAUUAAAGGGGUGGGAAAUGUUGUUCAAGGAAACGCAAAUUACCCAAAUCAAAUGGUUGAAUUUCCACGCGCUUUCAAGUUUCUGGCGCUCAUUAAAGGGGUGGGAAAUGUUGUUCAAGGAAACAAGGAGAUCGAAGAAAAAUGUUGUUCAAGAGACUAAGAAAUAUAUGUAGAUUCAUAUUAUUAUUAUUAUUAUUAUUAAUACUGUUGUUUGAGAUGAAAGAGUAAUGAUAAUAAACAUUUGAGAUUUAAAGAGUAAUAGGUGAUGUUGUAAUUCACAAAACCUUACAGUCACUUCAUCCAUAUAAACUUCUUGUAUCCUUUUGUUACAGAAGAAGUGAAGUGAUGAACCGGAGAGAAAAAGAUAAUCAAAUCUCUACUCGAUGGACUUUUUAUAUGCCCUAUAUAUUUUCCUUUGGACAAAAAAGAACUGAAAAAGACAAAA